GGCAGCCGCCGCGGUAAUACCGGCGGCUCGAGUGGUGGCCACUUUAUUGGGCUUAAAGCGUUCGUAGCUGGGUUGUUAAGUCUCUUGGGAAAUCCGGCGGCUCAACCGUCGGGCGUCUAAGAGAUACUGGCGAUCUUGGAACCGGGAGAGGUGAGGGGUACUUCGGGGGUAGGAGUGAAAUCCUGUAAUCCUCGAGGGACCACCUGUGGCGAAGGCGCCUCACCAGAACGGCUUCGACAGUGAGGGACGAAAGCUGGGGGAGCAAACCGGAUUAGAUACCCGGGUAGUCCCAGCCGUAAACGAUGUGCGUUAGGUGUAUCGAUGACCACGAGUCAUCGAGGUGCCGAAGGGAAACCGUGAAACGUACCGCCUGGGAAGUACGGUCGCAAGGCUGAAACUUAAAGGAAUUGGCGGGGGAGCACCACAACAGGUGGAGCCUGCGGUUUAAUUGGACUCAACGCCGGAAAUCUCACCGGAUAAGACAGCGGAAUGAUUGCCGGGCUGAAGACUCUGCAUGACUAGCUGAGUAGAGGUGCAUGG
rnacentral:rRNA from 1 species